rnacentral:rRNA from 1 species
GUUGGGUUAAGUCCCGCAACGAGCGCAACCCUUAUCCUUUGUUGCCAGCACGUGAUGGUGGGAACUCAAAGGAGACUGCCGGUGAUAAACCGGAGGAAGGUGGGGAUGACGUCAAGUCAUCAUGGCCCUUACGAGUAGGGCUACACACGUGCUACAAUGGCAGAUACAAAGUGAAGCGAACUCGCGAGAGCAAGCGGACCACAUAAAGUCUGUCGUAGUCCGGAUUGGAGUCUGCAACUCGACUCCAUGAAGUCGGAAUCGCUAGUAAUCGUAGAUCAGAAUGCUACGGUGAAUACGUUCCCGGGCCUUGUACACACCGCCCGUCACACCAUGGGAGUGGGUUGCAAAAGAAGUAGGUAGCUUAACCUUCGGGAGGGCGCUUACCACUUUGUGAUUCAUGACUGGGGUGAAGUCGUAACAAGGUAACCGUAGGGGAACCUGCGGUUGGAUCACCUCCUUACCU